AAGCAAUUAACUCAAAUGGUAGAGUAUUUCACUUACAAUGAAGUAGUUAAUGGUUCGAGUCCAUUAUUGCUUA
rnacentral:tRNA from 1 species